UGCUUUUGCGAUGCCACUAAUGCAUUAUAGAAGGCCACCAGAAACACUGCCUGAUGGAUAAGUGAUCUACAACAUCUGUGGACAAAGGAUGCAGUGUAUGGACUGAGCUGCCUAUGGGUCUGAAUGGGAUAUUUCUGUCAAUACUUGACACAGUGCCAAGUUCAGGCUCCUGUCACAUAGCUGGUGUUGGGAUGGUGUCAAGGCCUGGGUUUGACUCUGCAGCUUGCACCUACAUCUAUAAACCCCAAAGCACAAGAGAGACUGCUCAACACCAUCAUGAUAGAUGUGUUUGUUUUAUAAAUUCCGAGUUGAGGGUACUGUCUCCUACAAUGGAUCAAAAUCCAUGUACUCUUUACGAAUUAUACGGGAGCUCUUAUGAGAAUAGAGGUUAAUUGGCACAAGCAUUUCUGAUUUUUUUAUAGUUUAGCACCUAUUUAUGUCCGGGCCUCAGGCAGUUUGACUCCAGGCCCUGAAGAGGGGUUCACCUCAUGCUAAUUGCCUUUCAUCUUAUAUCCUAUCUGCUCCAGGAAGCACAUUAUAAGCCUCUCUGCAUUAGCUGUGUUCUGUCUCGCACAUUGCAUGAGCACUCUGCAAAGGGGAAUCUUGGCGUGAAUGUGAGUUGAGUUCCGUGCUGUUUCAGAUAUGCUCAAUGUCAACCGGGUCUAUGGCUGCAGUUGGGCAGUUUUCAUGACUGCUGAGAAGUAGCUUUCAAGGGAAAACCUCAACAUAUAAACAUAAACAUAGUUGAUAUUCAAACUCAUCUGGUGUCUGGGAAGUUCUAGCAGGUGAGGUUGUUCCCACAGUAGUCCAUUCUUUCCAUAAAUCACCUUUAGGCAUCCCCAGCUCUCUGGCCUGACCACCCUAACACAUCCUACAGGAAGGCAAAACCCAAAAUAGGUAGAACCAGGGCUUAGUGUAAAAGCUCACGGGUCAGAUCUCAAGGGCCGUUGUGAGCAUAACAAGGUUUCUGACCUUUGGAUUUAUUUUCUAGCCAAAUUUCUUUGGAAAUCAUAGGGUGGAAGUGAUAAGUACAUGCAGAAAGAAAGAACUUUUCCCUUAAAUCUCUGUUCAGGUUCCUUGGUCUCCUUUAAUUCUUAUUCACAGAAAUGCUACAUGGUUUAUCAAUUAAUGAAGAUUCAUUAAAUAUGAAUCAAUGCUUAAUUCACGCUACUUUUCCCCUGGAAGAGCCUCAUGGGGCUAACAUUAAGUAAGACAUUGUUCUAGGCACUUCGCAUAAAUGCAUGAUUUAAUUAUCACAAUAAUGCCUCCAUAUUGGCAGAAUUAUUACUAUUACCCAUAUCACCACCCUCAGAAUCAUCUGUCCCCACUGCCUUAACAGGCUUCCUCACAGCUUUGGCAUCAUGAAGACUCCAGAACACUAGUGUCUUGCCA
rnacentral:lncRNA from 1 species